rnacentral:lncRNA from 1 species
CUACAAAAUGAAGGGAAAAUUUAACAGAAGGGUUUAUUUGGCAAACCAAUUUGCUAUUUUUUUAGUAGGAGAUUAAAAUGCAAUCCAAGUAUAGUAGAGAGGCUGCUAUGGUACUUUUACUAGAAUUCUAUGUAUCAGCCUGUUGCAUUGGUUCAUUUCAUUUACUCAUUUUCCCAUAGGCCAUGAGAACAUUUUAUUGAAAUAAAUAAAAAUAGGAGAAAUAUUAUCAGCAUUGCAGCAUGACAAGAAAAAGUUCUAACAAGAGAAAUGGGUUUCUUGUGCUUACUGUCAUCUACAAAGAGGUAGAUAAGAAAAAGGUCCUUCAGCUUUAGUUUCUCCUUUGCCUUGUGGACGGAUUCUAGUGAGGUGCAUUUCGAGUGGAAGAUGAAAGCCUUUGAGGAAAGCCAAAAGGCUUUCAUCUUCCGGAGUGCUGCCCUCUUCAUAAGAAGUGACCUUCACAGUUUGCUUGCCUUGCCUUGCCUCUGCUGCGGGCACCAUGGUUUUUGUGAUCAAAGGCAUCAAGCUCAGUCCCUUGCUUUCUGCAACAUUAGCAUCUACGCCUCUUCCUUUUCUUGUAUCUGCUGAGCAGCAUGGGGAGCAAGCUUCCUGCCACAUGGAACAAAAACAUGCUUUAUUGACCUCUUAAUGGGCAAAUUCAGCUACGCUGUUUCCCCAUUUCAAUAAAAAUAUGUUACUAAAUAUUUAAAGCACAAAUCAUUAUGAAGGAAGGAACAGCGAAAGAAGAGGAGAGAAAAGAGUAGCAAAGAUGCCUUCUUGCUAGCUUUCAAAUAAGUCUCCUAAGCCUAGCCUCUUGCUGCGAGGCGAUUUCUAACAGAGGCUGUCAUGAAACUAAAGCAAAACACACUGAUGGGUUUGUAGCAGGCUCAACCCAAUUAAAAAGAAUGCUGGAUGAGGCAGAAACUCGAAAUUGCAGGCCACCAAUCAUCAGUCAAUCCUUUUACAUGCAACUCCGCCUACUGCCUUUACGAGCCUAUGAAUAUUCCAUAGCUGUGCAGAGUUAGGGUCUUCAGAAAUUGAAUCCCAUGUAAAAUAAGAAACAAUAAUUAAAUAUUGAACCCUAAAACUGGACAUGAACAACUUAGUUCCAC